rnacentral:rRNA from 1 species
AUGAUCGAAGCUCCCAAUGAUAAGUAUUUGGGUCUUCCUGCACAUGUGGGGUUAGAUAAGACUGAUUGCUUCCAAUAUCUGAUUGACCGUAUUGUUUUGAGAAUUAGCGGUUGGAAAGAAAAACUCUUAUCCACUGGCGGCAAGGAAGUUCUUCUCAAAUAUGUUGUUCAAGCUAUCCCAACACACGCUAUGUUAGUCUUUAAAAUUUCUAAAAAAAAUUGUAAAGGAAUAACAGACAAGAAGUCACAUUUUUGGUGGGGUGGUGACGACAACCAGAGAAGGAUGCAUUGGAUGGCGUAGUGGUAAAUGUGUGUCCCAAAAAGCCAAGGCGGAAUGGGUUUUCGUGAUAUAUAUUCUUUUAAUUUGGCAAUGCUGGCUAAGCAAGCUUGGCGAAUCCAGAUUUCGUGUGUGCCGCCAUUUUGA